GACGAACGCUGGCGGCGUGCUUAACACAUGCAAGUCGAACGGAAAGGCCCCUUCGGGGGUACUCGAGUGGCGAACGGGUGAGUAACACGUGAGUAACCUGCCCUUGACUUCGGGAUAACUUCAGGAAACUGGGGCUAAUACCGGAUAGGAAUCCUUGCUGCAUGGUGGGGGUUGGAAAGCUUCGGCGGUUUUGGAUGGACUCGCGGCUUAUCAGCUUGUUGGUGGGGUAGUGGCUUACCAAGGCUUUGACGGGUAGCCGGCCUGAGAGGGCGACCGGCCACAUUGGGACUGAGAUACGGCCCAGACUCCUACAGGAGGCAGCAGUGGGGAAUAUUGCACAAUGGGCGGAAGCCUGAUGCAGCAACGCCGCGUGCGGGAUGACGGCCUUCGGGUUGUAAACCGCGUUCAGCAGGGGCGAAGCUUGUGGUGACGGUACCUGCAGAAGAAGCACCGGCUAACUACGUG
rnacentral:rRNA from 1 species